GACAGAGGGUGCAAACGUUGUCCGGAAUUAUUGGGCGUAAAGAGCUCGUAGGCGGUCUGUCGCGUCGGCUGUGAAAACCCGUGGCUCAACUGCGGGCUUGCGGACGAUACGGGCAGGCUGGAGUUCGGUAGGGGAGACUGGAAUUCCUGGUGUAGCGGUGAAAUGCGCAGAUAUCAGGAGGAACACCGGUGGCGAAGGCGGGUCUCUGGGCCGAUACUGACGCUGAGGAGCGAAAGCGUGGGGAGCGAACAGG
rnacentral:rRNA from 1 species